AGAGUUUGAUCCUGGCUCAGGAUGAACUCUAGCGGCAGGCUUAACACAUGCAAGUCGAGGGGCAGCAUGAGGAGUAGCAAUACACCUUGAUGGCGACCGGCGCAAGGGUGCGUAACGCGUGAGCAACAUUCCCGAUUCUGGGACAUAACCGGUGGAAACGCCGACUAAUUUCCCAUAACAACGGUUUUGACAUCAUUACUGUUUGAAAGAUUCAUCGGAAUCGGAUUGGCUCGCGUGAUAUUAGUUAGUUGGUGAGGUAACGGCCAACCAAGACUACGAUAUCUAGGGGUUCUGAGAGGAAGGUCCCCCACAUUGGAACUGAGACACGGUCCAAACUCCUACGGGAGGCAGCAGUGAGGAAUAUUGGUCAAUGGCCGAAAGGCUGAACCAGCCAUGCCGCGUGAAGGUUAAGGUCCUAUGGAUUGUAAACUUCUUUUGUACGGGAGCAAUAAGAUCUACGUGUAGGUCGAUGAGAGUACCGUACGAAUAAGCAUCGGCUAACUCCGUGCCAGCAGCCGCGGUAAUACGGAGGAUGCAAGCGUUAUCCGGAUUUAUUGGGUUUAAAGGGUGCGUAGGCGGUAUGAUAAGUCAGCGGUGAAAUGUUCUCGCUCAACGAGAAAAGUGCCGUUGAUACUGUUGUACUAGAGUUCGGAUGCCGUGGGAGGAAUGUGUAGUGUAGCGGUGAAAUGCUUAGAUAUUACACAGAACACCCGAUUGGGAAAGGCAUCUCACGAAUCCGACACUGACGCUGAGGCACGAAAAGUGUGGGGAUCAAACAGGAUUAGAUACCCUGGUAGUCCACACUGUAAACGAUGAUAACUAACCGUUGGCGAUAUACAGUCAGUGGCUAAGCGAAAGCGAUAAGUUAUCCACCUGGGGAGUACGUUCGCAAGAAUGAAACUCAAAGGAAUUGACGGGGGCCCGCACAAGCGGAGGAACAUGUGGUUUAAUUCGAUGAUACGCGAGGAACCUUACCCGGGCUUGAAAGUUACUGAAUAAUCUAGAGAUAGAUUAGCUAGCAAUAGCAGGAAACUAGGUGCUGCAUGGUUGUCGUCAGCUCGUGCCGUGAGGUGUCGGCUUAAGUGCCAUAACGAGCGCAACCCUUGUCGUCAGUUACCAUCAGGUUAUGCUGGGCACUCUGGCGAGACUGCCACCGCAAGGUGUGAGGAAGGGGGGGAUGACGUCAAAUCAGCACGGCCCUUACGUCCGGGGCGACACACGUGUUACAAUGGUGAGUACAGAAGGCAGCUACCUGGCGACAGGAUGCAAAUCUUCAAAACUCAUCUCAGUUCGGAUUGGAGUCUGCAACUCGACUCCAUGAAGUUGGAUGCGCUAGUAAUCGCGCAUCAGCCAUGGCGCGGUGAAUACGUUCCCGGGCCUUGUACUCACCGCCCGUCA
rnacentral:rRNA from 1 species